rnacentral:lncRNA from 1 species
ACGGCACAAGGAGGAAAUAAUUCGUCAGCUUCGUCUAAUGGCAAGACUGGAACCUGAGAAUGGGAAAAUUGAUCCUCUCAGCUUGUUCGAAUCAGUCCCUACUGAACAUAAUCUGAUUCCAAACAGCAAUUGCACCGGAUCUGAUCUGAAUUUGUUCCCUGCUUAUGAGGUAAAAUCUUUCCCAGACUGACAACUGGUGUAUUCUUUUUCUUUCUACUUGUAAUUUUACAAAGCUCCCGUGGUUUUUGAUACUCUGGUACUCACAGACUCGGGUUCUGCUGUUGACAAACCAUGACCAGUAAAGCAAUGUUCUUGCAUUUUGGAUGAAUGGUUUGGAGUACUAUACUUUGUUGUAUGAAAGUUGUUUACCUAACUGAACCAGAGUCUGAUGUGUUACCAUGUUAUUGACAGAUCUUACCUUGUAUUGAAAAUUUCUGCAACGUUCAAGUGGAUGGCCAGUCGUGUGUAUCUAAUUAGCUGACUGAUUGAAUCCGUUGUUUUCUCAUGUACUGUACUGAGAUUUCCUUGUGCGAACUGCCACCCGUAGCUCGAAAUUCCUUAUCAAUAAAAAAGAAGCCAUUUUUCCUUGCACAGGAGCAUCUCUUUGACUGGGACAAUGACGAUGAAGAUGCUGCGAAUCAAGCUUUUAUUUCUUCCAUACUGAGAACCAACUUGGACGAAGGUUCUGCAACUCUUGACAAGCAGUCUAAUACUGCGGGCAGGGAAACACAUGCUGAUGAUGAGGAUGAAGCAAAGCCUCAACAUCCGGUUAGGACGUUACCGACUUUUCCAAAAG